rnacentral:rRNA from 1 species
UGGGGAAUUUUGGACAAUGGGCGCAAGCCUGAUCCAGCCAUUCCGCGUGCAGGAUGAAGGCCCUCGGGUUGUAAACUGCUUUUGUACGGAACGAAAAGGCUUCGGUUAAUACCUGAGGCUCAUGACGGUACCGUAAGAAUAAGCACCGGCUAACUACGUGCCAGCAGCCGCGGUAAUACGUAGGGUGCGAGCGUUAAUCGGAAUUACUGGGCGUAAAGCGUGCGCAGGCGGUGAUGUAAGACAGGUGUGAAAUCCCCGGGCUUAACCUGGGAACUGCAUUUGUGACUGCAUCGCUGGAGUGCGGCAGAGGGGGAUGGAAUUCCGCGUGUAGCAGUGAAAUGCGUAGAUAUGCGGAGGAACACCGAUGGCGAAGGCAAUCCCCUGGGCCUGCACUGACGCUCAUGCACGAAAGCGUGGGGAGCAAACA